CUGAAAAAAUGGGUUGCCGCCACUUGAAACUGGGGCUGUCUCCUGUUUCUUUCCUGGGGGUUUGGGAGCUGAUGGCUGCUGCAUCUUCUCAGUCACCCUCCUGGAACCCUGGUUCCCUUCAGCAGCAGCAGCAGUUCCACAGGAUCCCUAAGGAGGUCAGACACCGAUGGAGAUGGACACGGAAUGCAGGUGGAAGAUGAGAGGAAACAUUUCAGCCUUACUGCAGAAAUUACUGCUUGAGGCUUGUCUAAAGCCUCCUGCCCUGCUGCCUUAUGACAGCAAGAAAUACUUGGUGCUUAAAAGGAAUGGGAGAACCUUGGCUGGACGCAGCUCACAAGUGACAAAAGCUGUGAAAGCCCAGAAAAUCCAGCUGUAACCAGAAUCUUCUUGUGCCCAGUGGUGAAUUCUGGCCCGUGGGAGAGGCUUUGGGGCACUGCAGCCUGAGCACACCGUGCUGAGAGAGGGUCUGAAGCUGCAGGAACUUUUUGCUUUGCUUUCCUGCUGCCUGGGAGCAACUCAGGUUGCCAAAGACUCUACUAAGCCCACAGAGGACCUCCAACAUUGCA